GACCUGAUAGCUGAGUUGGUAGAGCACGAGAUUUAUAAUCUCAGGGUUGUGGGUCCGAGACACACAUUGGACA